CCUACGGGUGGCUGCAGUGGGGAAUAUUGCACAAUGGGGGAAACCCUGAUGCAGCAACGCCGCGUGAGCGAAGAAGGCCUUCGGGUCGUAAAGCUCUGUCCUAAGGGAAGAAAAAUGACGGUACCUUAGGAGGAAGCCCCGGCUAACUACGUGCCAGCAGCCGCGGUAAUACGUAGGGGGCGAGCGUUAUCCGGAAUCACUGGGCGUAAAGGGUGCGUAGGCGGCCAAUUAAGCCAGGGGUGAAAGGCUACGGCUCAACCGCAGUAAGCCUUUGGAACUGAAUGGCUUGAGUGCAAGAGGGGGGAGGGGAAAUACCAGGGUAGGGGGGAAAUGCGUAGAUAAUAGGGGGGACACCAGUGGGGAAGGGGAAUCCCCGGACCGGAACCGGCGGUGGGGGAAGAAAGCGGGGGGAGCAAACAGGAUUAGAUACCUCUGUAGUC
rnacentral:rRNA from 1 species